rnacentral:rRNA from 1 species
GACAUAGGUUGCGAACGUUAUCCGGAAUUAUUGGGCGUAAAGCGCGCGCAGGCGGUCCUUUAAGUCUGAUGUGAAAGCCCACGGCUCAACCGUGGAGGGUCAUUGGAAACUGGGGGACUUGAGUACAGAAGAGAAGAGUGGAAUUCCACGUGUAGCGGUGAAAUGCGUAGAGAUGUGGAGGAACACCAGUGGCGAAGGCGACUCUUUGGUCUGUAACUGACGCUGAGGCGCGAAAGCAUGGGGAGCAAACAGG